rnacentral:rRNA from 1 species
GACGAACGCUGGCGGCGUGCUUAACACAUGCAAGUCGAACGAAGAGCGAUGGAAGCUUGCUUCUAUCAAUCUUAGUGGCGAACGGGUGAGUAACGCGUAAUCAACCUGCCCUUCAGAGGGGGACAACAGUUGGAAACGACUGCUAAUACCGCAUACGAUCUAAUCUCGGCAUCGAGGAUAGAUGAAAGGUGGCCUCUACAUGUAAGCUAUCACUGAAGGAGGGGAUUGCGUCUGAUUAGCUAGUUGGAGGGGUAACGGCCCACCAAGGCGAUGAUCAGUAGCCGGUCUGAGAGGAUGAACGGCCACAUUGGGACUGAGACACGGCCCAGACUCCUACGGGAGGCAGCAGUGGGGAAUCUUCCGCAAUGGACGAAAGUCUGACGGAGCAACGCCGCGUGAGCGAUGACCGCCUUCGGGUUGUAAAGCUCUGUUAAUCGGGACGAAAGGCCUUCUUGCGAAUAGUGAGAAGGAUUGACGGUACCGGAAUAGAAAGCCACGGCUAACUACGUG